CCUAACAAUUUUUCCUUGAUUGUUUCACAAUAGCAUUAAUAUACUAUAUUCCAAUUUCACCCUACAGUUUUUUACGAGCAAAUUUUUGCUUAUUUUUUGUAACCAAAAUUUUGCCUUCAAACCGCAUUAAUUCAUUUCUUCAAUUUCCAUACGUACUGAAUAUGUGAUAUAAUCUGAAUAUGUUAAUAAUCUAUACUCCACCCAGCCCACAUCUUUUGAUUGUGGUACAAGUUUUAUUUUUAAGAGACCCGAGUAUCUACUCAUAGAUACUAAGCUUUCCUGAGAAAAGCUGACAACAAAUAAGUCCAAAUAGUAGAUACCAAAGAGAACUGAAUCUAUAACUUUUGAAUGUACCUAUAUCAUUUUCAAUAAACUUAAUGUAACUGACUUGAAGAUUUAUAGGCAAAAUUACUAAAGUUAUAUAUUUUUUUAACUCUUUUAUGAAAGCUAAGUACUCACUUCUCCUUUAUCUUGUAAAGCUUUAUCAAGUCUAUUCCUAAUGGGGCAGAGAGACAAGAGCUGCAAGACUAGGCCUAAAUAAAAAGAAUUGUGUGUGUUUCACCUCAGUCUAGCAUGAUGGGAAGCAAAGAUUAGGUCUAGGGUUUAUUUAAGUGGAGCUCCUAAGCAGGCUCCCAGAUUAAUUGUAUAUAUUUAAGGAAAUAAAUAAGUGGUAUUUAAUGUAAUGUAGGCUUCAGAAGAAGCAAACCUGAAUAGCAUUUUCAGUUGAUGUCAAAGAAAGUAAAGAGAAAAUAUUAGAAAAGGGAACCAUGGCCAAAUGAUACAAUCUAAUCAUUCAAAUUCAUGGAUUAUAUCAUAAAGCUGGUAAAAGUUGUAUUGUGACUUUUAGAUCAUUAUGUUUCUAUAAUUUUUUAUAGAUUUAUGAUUUAUAAGUAGGUAAUUUUAUAUUGUAACAUUUUAACGCUCCGCCUUAUACUGGCAAAGGUCCAAUCGUUUUAGAUUUUACAUUGUCCGGUUCUAAUUUUUGGCAGCGUCAUGGCUUACUGAUUUUAUUCUUAUAUUCACCUUCAGACAGUUUCGAACUUUCUUGUCGAGCAGAUCAUUCUUAUUAAUUUCAUCUGCAGUAGUUAUUCUCAAAAGAAAUAAACAUUUACAUUUUGAUUGAACCAAGUCCCAGCUCAAGAAGCCAAGUGCUAGCAUUAUUUUGAAACUGAAUCAUGUGUGACGUAUCUAACAAAGCAUCUUGUUAGUCUCGGAAUUCGUCAUCAGGGCAUCCGUGCACUGCCGGGUGCUAUUUCGGUGAGGCUCGGCCGUUCGCCUCUGGGGUGCAGCAAGUUUUAGUCGAACUCUGUAGCGCUUUCGGCCUGCGCCCGCGCCGCUCUAUGCAACAAGUGCGUUGACACCUAACUGUAUAGUGAAUCAUUUAUCGCGUUUCGAACUACGUUUAUUGGGUUAUAAGUUAUUGUCCUUUACGAGUGCGCUAUAUCAACUUUACGUGUGUGCUUGUAUACCUUGACUCCGACACAGUAUGGUCUUAUUGAAAUAACUUGUCUUACCUUUUUGAGCGCAGCCUUGUCUGCAUUACGUGUACCUUUACCCAGUUUUGCGACUGGCAUUAUUGUUAAAUUUUAUCAAUGUCUUCUCGCACGAAAAUUGAUAUUCGGAUAACGAUAUACUACGAAGAUCGUGUUGUAGUGAUUUACAUAUGAGCGGUAUGUAACUUGUUGACCUUUGUGAUACAAUUAUAACGCUUUCAUUGACAACUAUUGUAUUAUUAUUUAACCCAACUUUCCAGAUAUUUCAGAGUAAAAUAACAAUGAUUAGGUGACAUUCUAUCCUUUUUAAGGUACAUUCAAUUUCACCUGUAUGAUUCAUUUUUGUAGAGCAGUUUUUGAAUUUUGAAAUGAUGUAUAGCAGAACUGCCAGCGAUGUAGGGUACACGAUACAAAAAUAACUGUGGCAUAAUUAGCGUAAUGACCGUUGAACGUGUGAACUGGUCCUACUUUUUACAUAAUUUAAAUUGUAUUAGAGAACGCACGGCAAACGAACAAACAUACAAAACACAUUUUUCCUUUCAGAAGAUUUUCGUCAGCAGCGUAUAGAAAAAAAAUCAUAUAAAUAUUCGUAAAGUGGUUCUAUUGGAUUUAUUAUCUCUUUUUCUUAUGUUAUAGGUGCUUCGUCAUUCUUGGGUAAACGCUUUUUAUGGUUAUGGUCCUUACUUAGAUUAGGAAAAACUCCGGUCCUUAUUAACUAUUCCAAUUCCGGUGAUUAAUCUGUCAAACUUGCUGUGUCUGUUUCCGCCGUGUCGCGCCCAUAUUUGUCUAUCUUCGUAGCUGUGGGCGCACAAUUUGAUGCUAUCUUCCAGUUGUUUGUCUCAGACAGAUCAUUUCCACUUCACGGUUUUGUUCUCCGAGACUAAAGGCAAUCAAGGGCCUCGACGAAUCUGACAUUAGCACGAUUUCUAAUGGCCUUCCGGUGGUGUAAUCAUGGUUGGGAAAUGUUCGCUGUAAAAAGCGCUCAUUCCUGCGACCCUGAAGGAUGAAGAAUAUUGAAGAGGCGGCACGAUCCGCGCUUGCUUCGAUCCAUAUUUGGCGUGUAGCAGUACUCAGUUGCACAGAAAGAAUCAAUAAUGCUUAUUGCCGGUGGUGCCGGAUACAUAUUUCUAACGUGGAAUUUUUGUAUUGGAGCAUCGAACUUUUCUAAUUAAAUAUUUUAUUCAUUGACUCAA